rnacentral:rRNA from 1 species
GUGUCAGCAGCCGCGGUAAUACAGAGGGUGCAAGCGUUAAUCGGAAUUACUGGGCGUAAAGCGCGCGUAGGCGGUUAUUUAAGUCGGGUGUGAAAGCCCCGGGCUCAACCUGGGAAUUGCAUCCGAUACUGAGUGACUAGAGUAUGAGAGAGGGAGGUAGAAUUCCACGUGUAGCGGUGAAAUGCGUAGAUAUGUGGAGGAAUACCGGUGGCGAAGGCGGCCUCCUGGCUUAAUACUGACGCUGAGGUGCGAAAGCGUGGGGAUCAAACAGGAUUAGAUACCCUCGUAGUCC